rnacentral:lncRNA from 1 species
CUCCAUAGGGCUGUUCUCUGGACUGGAAGCGAUGCGUGUUUUCUUCACGACCUCUAGCUCAGUGUAAGAACUUCACUUCGAAAGAGGCCAAGAAUGAGAGUCCGCUGCCUGGUGAAAACGCCUUGCAUCAACUGGGGGAGAUUCAAACCUGACUGCAGGAAUCCGAGAGAGGAUUAGCAUUCUGGAUUCUCUCGUGUGUUUCCUCCUAGUGGAUGAACAUCUCUUACCUCUGCAAGAAAAGAGCUUUCUUCUCAAGCCGGUGAGACCAAUUACAGUCCUCAACAUACUUACCGAGCAAACACAUAAACGCAUAAACUUAGAUUAUAUGUUUAAUGCUAUGAACUCCAGCAUGGCAACAGAUGCCAUCAGGAAAGUGAAACAAGGCUAUGAUCCCUCACUUGACUUUGUUUUUUAACAACUGCUUUCUAGCUUUGCAUUUUAUAAGGUUGCCA